UCUUGUAAGCACGAGGCAGACAAGGAGCUGCAUGACCAGCAGAGAAAGAUCGGCAGUGUUAUAGAAGAAAGAAGAAAAAAUAAGUUGAAGAAUUAAAAGAGGCAACUUUUUGUUUUUGUGCUUUUUGACAUCGGCUACGUUGUGUGCCGAAAGAACAUUUUCAGAGCGGCUACGUUGUGUACGUGUCGUGUUCUUGGAAACUCCGAAUUGUUUUGAUGACCCUCGAUUGUAGCUCGGACUUCAAGUCUUCGUUGGAGGUCGAUGGCGAGCCAGGCGUAGAACGAGAGUAUCCGGUUGAAGACUGAAGUACAGUGUGGCCAGCUGUUUCUGAUUCCCAUCAACAGGAUUGAUCCCAACCUUACAGGACAUGAGAUAAGGAACAUUCCCAUACACAUUCACUUAUCCUACCCAGGUAGAGAACAAAUUGAGUGCACAAACGAGACAACGACGAUUUAUUUUAUGCUGUUUUAUUCAUAAUACUGAUUUAUUUUGUAAAAAAAGUUCAGUUUUAGGAAGAAAUUCUUGUUUAUGUUGUUGUUGUGUUUUAUGUUGUAAAAGGUAGAGGAAUAAACCUGCCCUCUGUUAGUUAAA